rnacentral:rRNA from 1 species
CACGUAGGGCGCGAGCGUUGUCCGGAAUUAUUGGGCGUAAAGAGCUCGUAGGCGGCCUGGUGCGUCCGCUGUGAAAGCCCGGGGCUUAACCCCGGGUCGGCAGUGGAUACGGGCAGGCUUGAGUUCGGUAGGGGAGACUGGAAUUCCUGGUGUAGCGGUGAAAUGCGCAGAUAUCAGGAGGAACACCGGUGGCGAAGGCGGGUCUCUGGGCAGAUACUGACGCUGAGGAGCGAAAGCGUGGGGAGCGAACAGG